GAUGAACGCUGACAGAAUGCUUAACACAUGCAAGUCUUUGGCGAAGCUGUGCUUGCACAGCCUAGCCAAGGCGGACGGGUGAGUAACGCGUAAGGAACUUGCCCUGCAGUCAGGGAUAACAGACGGAAACGACUGAUAAGACCUGGUAAAGUCAGGCGGAAUCAUGUCCAGCCUGAUGAAAAGAGAUGCUGCAGGAGAGCCUUGCGUCCUAUUAGCUUGUUGGUGGGGUAACGGCCCACCAAGGCGAUGAUAGGUAGCCGGCCUGAGAGGGUGGACGGCCACAAGGGGACUGAGAUACGGCCCUUACUCCUACGGGAGGCAGCAGUGGGGAAUAUUGGACAAUGGGGGCAACCCUGAUCCAGCAAUUCUGUGUGCACGAUGAAGGUUUUCGGAUUGUAAAGUGCUUUCAGCAGGGAAGAAAAAAAUGACGGUACCUGCAGAAGAAGCGACGGCUAAAUACGUG
rnacentral:rRNA from 1 species